GGGACAAAGCCCGGAGCUGGAUCGGAGCCGAACCGGAGCGAGGCCCAGAACCGGGACUGGAACUGGAUCAGGGACCGGAGCCGCUGCAAGACCCGGAGCCGGAUCAACCAGAACCGGAUCAGAGCCGGACCCGGGGCAAAGGCUGGAGCUGGAUUGAGGACCGGGACCGCGGCGGGGAGCAGGAGGGCUCGGGGGGGCCCCGCCAUGAGCGGGGGGGCCCCGCGGGGGUCCCCCCUCGGGCACGGCUCGUACCGCCGGGGGCCGCGGCCCGGGGGAGGCCCAGGGGGGGCUCGGGGGGGGCCGGUGCCACCGGGGAAGCUGCAGCUGCUCGAGCGCUUCUUCACCCCCCCGGGGCCCCCCCCCGGGGACCCUCCUUCAUCCCCUUCCCCCUCCUCCUCCUCCUCAUCCUCGUCCUCUGGGGGGGGCGAAGGCCGCAGGGACCCAUUGGGGUCACUUGUGCCCCCCCCCCCGAGCCCCGGCCCCCCCCCUGCGCCUGGGGCUGAGCCGCAGCCACGAGCGGCUACACCCCGGGGACCCCCUCGGGGGUCUCGGUGACCCCCCCCGGUCCCUUCGGGGUCCCCCCCGCCCUUACAGCCCCCCCCGCCGCCGGGGGCCGACCCACCUCCGCCUCCCGGGGGGGCUCUGGCAGUCCCAUGGGGACAUCGCGGGGGGCUCGGAGGACCCCCCCAAAGGUGUCCCCCACCCUCACAGCCCCCCCACGGCUGCGGGGAGUCGGAGCUCGGGGGUGCGGGGGGGGCUGCGGCUGGGCCAGAGCCGCAGCCAGGAGGGGUUGGGGGGCCCGGGGGGGGUGGGAGGAGCGCGGGGGGGCCCCCCCAGGCGCUGGCGCUCGCUGGAGGCCGUGGGGGGGCGCCGGGGGGGUCCCCGCUUCUCCCGGUUCUUGGAUGAACUGACCCGGCGGGUGCUGAGCCCCGCGCGGCUCCGGGCCCUGGGGUGGCCCCCGCGGGGGGGGGUGCCGGGGGGGGGCGUCGAGGAGGAAGAGGAGGAGGAGGAGGAGGAAGAGGAAGAAGAGGAAGAUGUGGAGCAGGAGCCGGGGGCAGCCGGAGGCUCCGGGAGACCGAGGGGCACCCCCCCGCCGCGCGCGGAGCUUGAGGCGCUCCGGGAGCAGAUUGACAGGCUCCAGGACGAUUACGCCAAUUCCCAGCGGCUCAACCGCCUCCUGGAGGAGCGAGUGCGGGGCCUGACGCAGGCGCUGGUGCUGGAGCGGGCGGCGCUGAGCCGGCACGUGGCCGAGGUGCUGCAGCGGGUGCUGGAAACCCCCCCCGGGGCUGAGCCCCACAACCGGCACCCGGUGCCUGCGUGGGGCCGGGUGGAGGCCGAUGAGGAUGAGGAAGGGCCCCUUCUGCCCCCCCCCGCCUUCAGGGACCCACCGGGGGGGGCCCUGCCCUGAGCCCCCCCCUCCCCAACCUACCAAUAAAGCACCGAGACACCCCC
rnacentral:lncRNA from 1 species